AUUGAACGCUGGCGGCUGGUUUAUCACUUGCAAGUCGAGCGGAGCGGCGGACGGGUGAUUAAUGCCUAGUAAUCUGCCUGGUAGUGGGCGAUAACGUCGGGAAACGGGCGCUAAUACCGCAUAAUAUCAGCUGAGACACGGUCGGAUGAGCUAGUGGGGGGGGAAAAGGCCUACCAAGGCCACGCUCCGUAACUGGUCUGAGAGGAUGCUCAGUCACACUGGAACUGAGACACGGUCCAGACUCCUACGGGAGGCAGAAGUGGGGAAUAUUGGACAAUGGGCGAAAGCCUGAUCCAGCCAUGCCGCGUGUGGGAAGAAGGUCUUCGGAUUGUAAAGCACUUUUAGUUGGGAGGCGUUACCAACAGAAUAAGCACCGGCUAACUUCGUGCCAGCAGCCGCGGUAAUAC
rnacentral:rRNA from 1 species